UACGUAGGGUGCAAGCGUUGUCCGGAAUUAUUGGGCGUAAAGAGCUCGUAGGCGGUUUGUCGCGUCUGCUGUGAAAACCCGGGGCUCAACCCCGGGGCCUGCAUUCGAUACGGGCAGACUAGAGUUCGGUAGGGGAGUCUGGAAUUCCUGGUGUAGCGGUGAAAUGCGCAGAUAUCAGGAGGAACACCCGAUGGCGAAGGGCAGGUCUCUGGGCAUUAACUGACGCUGAGGAGCGAAAGCAUGGGGAGCGAACAGG
rnacentral:rRNA from 1 species